GAUUAAAGAUGCCCUUUGAAGGUAAAAUAAAUUUACAUUACAUCAUCUUUUGCUUUUCUCUUAAUCUUGUUGAUAUUUGUUUUCUAAUUUGUCUUAAUAAUUACAAAUUUCUGAGAUUUAUUCAACAUUGUAGUUUACAUCAUACUUUUAGAGAAGACAACGGGUGUGCAGAUUGGCUUGCCAAAAAGGGCGCUACCUCAAAUGUCUCUGAAGAUUUGGCAUAGUUAUUCCCUUAAGCUUAAUAAUGUUUUGAUAGCUUAUGCUUUAGGUGUUGUUCACCUUCGAGCCUAGCUUGUUUUUCUGUUUUGCUUUGCUUUGCAUUGCUUUUCUUUUUUGUUGUAUUAGAAACAAAGUUUUUUUAAUAUAAUCUAUAGUUAUUUUUAUGACUGGAUGAGAAGAGUUAUUAAACAUAGUAAUUUAUUUAUAUAAUUCCUAACGUUAUAAAUAUUCAUUGCAAAUAUGUUGUAUUCAUUAUAAAUAUUAGGGUUGUUCAAUGUUCAUUGCAAAU
rnacentral:lncRNA from 1 species